GUUUAAGAUUGGAUUUAUGCCCAUUUUGAGUAAAUCCUCACCCUCCUUGGUUUAGCUUCGGCUGAUCUCAGUUGGUUCUUGUUAAAACCAAAAUAUCCUCACCUGCAGCCCACGAGGAUUACUUUGCUUCAUCGUUGUAUUCUAACAACCCUGGGAUGUUGGAUUGAUUACUGACGCCAUUUGAGAGAUGAGGAAAUAAAUUCUCAUACAAAUGAAGUGGUUUGUCCUGAGUCAGAGAGUUAGAAAACUUCAGAGGCGAGAUUUGCACCUGUAGUCCUAAGCCAGUGUUGAGGCUGAAGGAGACGGUAUUCCUGGUUAGAUUACAUCAUUACCACAAGAGAGGCUUGAGUUCUGAGGAUGACGGUUUUAUAGCCCGUAGACCCCCACAACUGGAGCCAUCUGGACUUCUGGAAGCCUGGGGAGGUUGAUGUGUGAAGCACCUACGAGUGCCUCGUGGAAUACUACGAGCAUGUGAACACCCCACGGCAGAGAAUUCCGGAUUGCCACAGGGAAAGGCGACUAGGCUUCCUAGAUGGCAAAUUUGCCCUGAUUCCCAGCCUGCUGCCUGCAUUAGUCAAGGUUCUCCAGAGAAACAGAACCGAAGAGAGAGACAGACAUGUUAUAAGGGAUCGACUUAAUUUCAGAAGCUUUGAAUCUCAAGGUCUGCAGUUAAAGAGCUGGACACUCAGGAGAGCUGAUGGUAUAAGGUCCAGUCUGAGGCUGAAGGCAGAAGACAGACAUGGUGUCCUAGCUGGAAGACACUCAGGCAGAGAGUGACUUCUCCCUUAGGCCACCUUCUCAUGUCGUAUCUCCUUCUCUGACGCUGACCCUCCCACCUCCCUCUUCUAAGGACCCUUGUGAUAAAGUUGUGCCCACUGGAUAACCCCAGGUUGUCUGGGGAAGAUGUAGAUGAUCCAGUCAAAGCCCAUGCCUUUCCUGGGUCAUUCAGGGGAUGCAGGGAACUGUUGUUGACCCCGUGUACGAGGAGGCAUGUUAGGUUCUUUGAAAUCGACAUUGAGCACCCUCCCCGAUGCAGCACUCCCUUCCCCAUCAUUCUGCAUCAGCAAGCCAUCUGUGCCGUUCAAAUAUUGUUCAAAUGUAAUAUUUCUGAAACUAUUUUUAA
ensembl:lncRNA